rnacentral:lncRNA from 10 species
AGGACACGCAGAAACAGCACCCUCCUGGAGAAAGGGCCCCACUCAGCCUGCCCUGGCCUUGCUGGAGGUGGGGCUUUUCGGGAAAAGAACGAGGAGGCUGAAGACAGGAAAGCCAGCGGGUGGGGAGGCUGGGACCCUGGGGGAGGGGUGGGAACAUUGUGAAGGCCACACCCCAAGCCCUGGGGCCCUGUAUUGGGUCUUUGUUGCAUUGCUAUAAAGAAAUACCUGAGACUGGGUGAUUUAUAAAGGAGAGAAAUUCGACUGGCUCAUGGUUCUGCAGGCCGUACAGGAAGCCUGGUGCUGGCAGAUCUGCUUCUAGGGAGUUCUCAGGAAGCUUCUGGUCAUGGUGGAAGGCAAUGCGGAGCCAGCGAGUCACAUGAUGAGACCCCGAGCAAGAAAGAGAGGCCGGGAGGUGCCACACUCUACAACAACCAGAACGUGCCUGUGUAAUCAGAACCCAGAAAAGGGAAAAGAGCAUUCUUCACCACACAGAAGUCCUGGUGACAGUCUUUCUAGUUAUCGGCCCACUGCAAGGGUAACCCUAUCCAAACUGCGUUGAUUAGGUUUUCAUAUUUCAUAGAAAUGGAUUCAUACACUACUUGCUCUUUUGUGUCUGGAUUUUUCAUCAUGCAACAUUAUUUCUCAACCUGGAGCUGUGCGGACUGAGACUGAGAUGCAUCGCUGAAACUCUCUUUAGGUGUUCCCUACCAUUUCUUCUUGGAAAAGAAGGUUUUACCUCCUGGGAUUUUUGAGAACCUCUAACUUCUCCAUUGGGGACCAUCUCCAGGUACCACCAAAAAAGAGCACAACAGCAGCCUUGCGGAUAAGUCCUGGUCUGGAGUCAGCCACCGCUGCACACACCACUCAGAGCUGCAUCAUCGGGUUACCCCUGGAAAGGCUGCCCACACACCCACAUCCAGGGGUGUCUCGUCACUGCUGACGACUAGCACGGAACCUGAAAGCUCAGCAUGAGAUGAAGUGGCUGGAGGCACGUGAGUCCUGCACUGAUAGAGGCCGGUUCUGUCAAGCCUCACCUGGAUGAUGUGUGUGACUCUUCCCAUAGAAAGGAGCAGGCUCUCUCAUGAAGCCUCCAUUCUAGCAUUUUGUGAUCAUCUAUGACCUUAGAGGGGUCCUCUAUAACCCUGAGUCCCAAACAGGUGAAUACAGAGUGGGCUCACACUUAUUUCUCCAUUAUUCCUGUGUUCUUUCAGGAGGCUGACCAUCAAACCUACUUAGAAGUCAGACCUUGAAUGUAAGUACAUGUUGUUCAUUAUCUAUAUCUUUUGCAUGACAGAAUGUCAGUUAUAGGAUAAAUAACAGAGGGUAGGCUGUGUACCAAGUCAUGGUGACAACAAUACAAAGCAAGGCUGGGCGCGGUGGCUCAUGCCUGUAAUCCCAGCACUUUGGGAGGCUGAGGAGGGUGGUUCACGAGGUCAGGAGUUCGAGACCAGCCUGGCCAACAUGGCGGAACCCCAUGUCUACUAAAAAUAGAAAAAUUAGCCAGGCGUGGGUCACAUGACUGUAGUCCCAGCUACUCAGGAGGCUGAGGCAGGGGAAUUGCUUGAACUUGGGAGGCUAAGAUUGCAGUGAGCCGAGAUUGCACCACUGCACUCC